GAGGUCUUAGCUUAAGUAAAGUGUCUGGGUUGCAGUCAGGUGAUGUUGAUUAAAAUUCUGCAGGCCUU
rnacentral:tRNA from 1 species